UUGACGGGGACCCGCACAAGCAGCGGUAGCGUGUGGUUUAAUUCGUUGCUACACGAAGAACCUUACCUGGGUUUGACAUAUAGGUUGUAGGGAACUGAAAAGGGACCGACCCUUCGGGGAGCCUAUACAGGUGUUGCAUGGCUGUCGUCAGCUCGUGUCGUGAGAUGUUCGGUUAAGUCCGCUAACGAGCGCAACCCUCGUCGUAUGUUAUAUGUGUCAUACGAGACUGCCGGUAAAAGCCGGAGGAAGGUGAGGAUGAUGUCAAGUCAGCAUGACCUUUAUAUCCAGGGCUACACACACGCUACAAUGGUCUGUACAAUGGGUAGCCAAGCCGCGAGGCGGAGCCAAUCCUGAAAGCAGGCCUCAGUUCAGAUUGCAGUCUGCAACUCGACUGCAUGAAGCCGGAGUUGCUAGUAACCGCAGGUCAGCAAUACUACGGUGAAUACGUUCCCGGGUCUU
rnacentral:rRNA from 1 species